AAAGCAGAGAAAAAAGAGGCAAAGAGGAGAAUAAAAAGUGAAAAGCAAUGCAGGUAAAUGUAGAGAAAGCAAGUAGGAAAGGUAAGUAUAGCAGAACAAAGGAAAGCAGAGGAAUGCAGUGAAUGACAGCAAGCAACCUUGCAGGAAUGGAGGAAGGUGGGAAGAGCUGAGGCCCAGCUUGCCACAGGAGCUGCGUGAAAGGAGAAGCAGCUGGGCCCAAAGGGGCAGCUGACAUCGAAAAUGGUACCUCGUGUGAGUGAUCAGGGUUGAUUUGGAGACUUCCCCCUUUGGCUUGAACCUCAGCUCGGAAACUUUCUCUCUCCAGAAUAGUAUUACACAGAGCUCGAUAAGCACAAGCCAAGCCCCAAACAAGUUGUGCCUCAUCAGAUCUGUCUAAGCUGCACCGUCCCUGACUUAAAUGCUUGCUUAGUUUCUCGGGUUCCCACAGGUGUUCAAGAGUGAAAUCCCAUGGCACUGCAGGUCCCCACACAUCAACCUCUCCAUAUUCCCUGCCAGUCAACGCUCUCUGGUUUUGGGGAAGACUUCUUCCACAUGACAUGAACAGAGAAGAAUAUAUUCAGGGAGAUUGGAAACAUGAGCAUGAACGUGAUCACUAACUCGGCAUUCCAAAAAUGCGUAAAGAACUGAGAAGAGAGCCUGGAAACCGGUUUGAACAUCGUGUUGUUGGUAAAGUCAGCUAUUCCAUCUGUCAGUAUUCACAUCAUACAACACUGCAGGCGGUGACUGCUGCGGAUGGGGCAGUGGCAGUGGAAGACAGCGAGGUGGUGGCAGCAGAGCUGGUGAGGUGCUGCUCCCACUGCACAGGAGGCUGCUGCUGAAGGUGACAAACCUCAGGGAGAAGAAAAGGAGGUUGAUGUUUCUCAGGUACCUCCUGUUGUUGCGUGGGGAGCAGUAGGGAAUCCAGCCAGAUCCAGCAGCUCCCAGCAAAGGCAAGGCUGAUGCAGCUCCACGCCCCAGGGUGCAACGAGCAGCGAGGAUGAGCGUGUAUUCUCAGUCGAUGCACACACAGAGCACACACAGACACGAUAUUGGAACAUGCACAGACAGCCAUGGAAAUCGUAGACAGACACGCGGGGUACUCACACAAACACAAGCAUUACCAGAAGCCUCAUCACGUUCACCUCUGGCUGAGCAGGGUAGAGAUCUACUCGUGAGAAUAUAUAUAUUCUUAUAUACAUGCUGAUGUCACUCAAGUCCACUCAGCUGAGUGUCUCCAGUGGCUGGCACCUGGAUCUCUCAUGCAGCUGGCAGAUGGG